UACGUAGGGGGCAAGCGUUGUCCGGAAUCAUUGGGCGUAAAGCGCGUGUAGGCGGCCCGGUAAGUCCGCUGUGAAAGUCGGGGGCUCAACCCUCGAAUGCCGGUGGAUACUGUCGGGCUAGAGUGCGGAAGAGGCGAGUGGAAUUCCCGGUGUAGCGGUGAAAUGCGCAGAUAUCGGGAGGAACACCAAUGGCGAAGGCAGCUCGCUGGGACGUGACUGACGCUGAGACGCGAAAGCGUGGGGAGCAAACAGG
rnacentral:rRNA from 1 species